UAGGGAAUCUUCGGCAAUGGACGGAAGUCUGACCGAGCAACGCCGCGUGAGUGAAGAAGGUUUUCGGAUCGUAAAGCCCUGUUGUUAGAGAAGAACGUUGGUAGGAGUGGAAAAUCUACUAAGUGACGGUAACUAACCAGAAAGGGACGGCUAACUACGUGCCAGCAGCCGCGGUAAUACGUAGGUCCCGAGCGUUGUCCGGAUUUAUUGGGCGUAAAGCGAGCGCAGGCGGUUCUUUAAGUCUGAAGUUAAAGGCAGUGGCUUAACCAUUGUACGCUUUGGAAACUGGAGGACUUGAGUGCAGAAGGGGAGAGUGGAAUUCCAUGUGUAGCGGUGAAAUGCGUAGAUAUAUGGAGGAACACCGGUGGCGAAAGCGGCUCUCUGGUCUGUAACUGACGCUGAGGCUCGAAAGCGUGGGGAGCAAACAGG
rnacentral:rRNA from 1 species